rnacentral:lncRNA from 1 species
AUGUCCAGCCGUGGCAAGCUGAGGUCCAACCAGGCACUACAAGUCCAAAGAAGAGUUUCUAGGAAGCAAAGUUGUUUUGUUUUUUGUAGAAGACACAGCACUUCUAGGAGCCUAGCACAAGGUGCAUGUUUUUCUGAAAUUUGGCAUAUGUUUUCAGGACUUUUAUAAGAACAUGUGGGCUAUAUUUGCUAUGAAGUGACCCUUGGACCAGGGUGAAUUUUACCUUCCAAAAAUCAACUUCAGCUGAAGCAACUCAAAAAACCAUGGGAAAAAAAAGAAAUUUUGCCCUGCUGUCAGUGACAUUUGUGAAUGAUAGAAAACCAUCCAUAUGGCUAAACAGACUAUCUGCACUCCCCCACAAGUAGUCACUUAGAGGAUGAAAGUACUAUUCAGCCUGAUCAUCUGUUUUGUAACAGGAUAUUUAUCUCAAGCUUUCAAGAAUGUCAUUAUUAUUGGGGGAGGAGGGGAAUGGGCAGUAAGACAGAAUCUGUAAUAGAUUAUCAAUGUUGGAAGUGAAUAAGCUGGAGAGCAGGAAACCUGCCUGAACCCCAUCAUUCAUGAGCCCUGCUUUUGUCCAGAAAGAGAGGCUGUAGGCCCAUGAUAAUACAAGGGGAAGGAGAAGGAGGAAAUGUUCUCGCUGCGGUCUGUUAAGAGUUCAAGGAGACUAAGUGGGGUCUGAAAAGUGGUAGGACCCUGAAAGGGAGGGGUAACAGCUGAGUGUCUCUGAAGAGAAGACUGGUUAAUACAGGGAAUAGGGACAAGUCUGUAAAGUUGUUUCUGUAAGCACAUCCUUGAAAGCUAAUGCAGCUGCCCUGGAGGGAGGCUGUCAGUGCAGGAGGCUGAAUAUCAGCUCAGGGACUCUGGUCCAGUUAAGCAAAUGACACGGUUCUGACUGAUACUGGCACAGGGUAUGGCUCAGUGGCUGUGGCUGCCUAAAAACCACCUAAUUUAAACUCCAUUUCUGAACUAAGGAGCAUGAAAAUUUCAAAGCUUUUUACUUCCAGUGGAGACUUCCAGGGGUAGUAUUAAUAGCUUUGGUGAACUGUGCUCCAUUGAUUUAAAGCACCUGUGCUUCUGAAAGUCAGGAUUUUAUCAAUUUUUUAUCACUUACACAGGAAGCAGUGCUGGGCUUAAUGCUAUUUAUCCAGCUGGACAUAUUGACUUUGACUUAGGAGAUCAAAGCAUUUUGGUUAGGGAUUGUGUAACAUCUUCCUAUAAGAACUGUCAGGGGUAAAUUUACCAAAGCCUGAAACUUUGAUUGAUGAUCAUUUUGCAUGAGUGUUCAGCAUUAGGAAGCACACAAUAAACCCUUUCUCUUAAUGGAGGUACA